rnacentral:rRNA from 1 species
AUUGAACGCUGGCGGCAGGCCUAACACAUGCAAGUCGAACGGUAACAGGAAGAAGCUUGCUUCUUUGCUGACGAGUGGCGGACGGGUGAGUAAUGUCUGGGAAACUGCCUGAUGGAGGGGGAUAACUACUGGAAACGGUAGCUAAUACCGCAUAACGUCGCAAGACCAAAGAGGGGGACCUUCGGGCCUCUUGCCAUCGGAUGUGCCCAGAUGGGAUUAGCUAGUAGGUGGGGUAACGGCUCACCUAGGCGACGAUCCCUAGCUGGUCUGAGAGGAUGACCAGCCACACUGGAACUGAGACACGGUCCAGACUCCUACGAGAGGCAGCAGUGGGGAAUAUUGCACAAUGGGCGCAAGCCUGAUGCAGCCAUGCCGCGUGUAUGAAGAAGGCCUUCGGGUUGUAAAGUACUUUCAGCGGGGAGGAAGGGAGUAAAGUUAAUACCUUUGCUCAUUGACGUUACCCGCAGAAGAAGCACCGGCUAACUCCGUG